GUCACCGUGUGGAGAUAAAACUCAACAUCCACGAGUCCCCCAGAUCUACUCCUUUGAUAAAAACACUAGUCGCUAAAUGCUAGGUUAAAUAAAUAAGUCUUCAACCUCGACUUAAACACUGAGACCGUGUCUGCUUCACGUACAUUAACUGGGAGGCUAUUCCAUAAUUUUGGGGCUUGGUAAGAGAAAGCUCUGCCCCCUGCCGUGGUUUUGGCAAUGCGUGGUACUGAUAGACAGCCUGCAUCCUUAGAGCGAAGUAGGCGCGGCGGAACGUAAGGUACUAACAUAUCGCUUAAAUACUGCGGAGCGAGACCGUUUAAUGCUUUAUAGGUUAGGAGUAAUAUUUUAAAAUCGAUGCGGAAUCUUACUGGGAGCCAGUGUAAUGUAGAUAAGACUGGCGUGAUAUGCUCAUACUUCCUAGUCCUAGUCAGGACCCUCGCUGCUGCGUUCUGAACUAUCUGAAGCUUAUUUAUGCAUCUAGACGAACAUCCAGAUAGUAAAGCAUUACAGUAAUCUAAUCUGGACGUGAUAAAUGCAUGGACUAGUUUUUCAGCAUCACUUAGCGAAAGUAUAUUUCUAAUCUUAGCAAUAUUUCUGAGGCAUGCUUCAGCUUGAGAAAUAAGCACAACUUGAGUGAGUGAAAGGGAAUUCAUUUCUAAUACUGGGUUAAUCUCAUCUUCAGAGGAUAUAUAUAUAUAUAUAUAUAUAAUGUGUGUGUGUGUGUGUGUGUGUGUAUGCACGGAACUAAACUGCACUGAACCAAGCCAUUGAAAAGCUGCUAAUUUUUAUUAUAUCUGUGGUUUGCUUUUUUCUUGUGCAGAGGCACAAUAAACACACCCCACUCAUCUCACCCUGCAUCUGCUGUGUCUCAUAUCAUACAUUUAAGAUAUCAUCUACUACAUUAUAUAUAUCUUUACACUAUGAAAUAAAGCAUUAUACACCAUAAUAGCAGACAGACAUAACGUAAAUAUAAAAACAUUUCGCGAUUUCCCCAUGGGACACACAGUAGACUAGUCUAUUUCCGGUUGCUUCGCGCCAAUUCUGGCAGUACAUAGCCAGGCCACCGGGUGGCGCCCAGGUUUGGCCGGCCUAUGGGGGAAACGCUGCACGAAGAACCCACUGCACAGACAAUACCAAGCACAAACCACCGCGUGAAUUAAUGUCAGGGGAUGAAACGGAGUGGAUAUGUUUGUGUGUAUGAAAGUCCAGUAUGCUAAUAGCGUGCGUGUGCACCCACAUCGCCUCAGCAGGGAUUUACGGAGGAAGAAUGAGAUGAUUGAGAAAAGCCAGCAGAUGUCCUGUAUUGUAUGGAACCCCACAAACGCUGAUGGCAGCACACAUUGUGACAUUGUCACCACGCUGGCCAGGGACUUCUACAAUGACCUGGUGGCCCAGAAGCUUCCGUCCUCUUGUCCUCCUCUUAGUAAGGUUUAUUCCUGCUUCAUCUAUGAAGAUAUAUUUGUGCAGGUUUUCCCUGGCAUCAAUUUUAAAUAUUCUCUACAGAAAAGCUUUGAUUACAGUUAAAGCACACUACAUGAUAAAUCCUGUAAAACCCAUUACUGCAAUGCUGUACAAUAGGCCAUCAUAUAGCCUGUAAUCCAGUACAUACUGCUGAAAUACAUCACCAUAUCCAUAUUGGACUUACUUGCACAUACUCCAAGUCCUCGGCUUUGAUCCUGAGUUCGUUUCAAAAGGAAUAUAAUAACCUUGUUUCAUUCUUACCCUGUUCCUCCGAAGUAUGCGGUCAAUAGUGCCAAUGCUUAUUUGAUUGAUUCCUUGAAAUAAACAUUGGUCUUCCAAUUAUUAUUGUUUGAAUUUCUCACAAAUUAAAUUGUUGGCUAUCACCAUAUUUACAACUGCAGUGUGCUGUUUGGCUAACAACAGCCUUGGUCUGCCUUCUCUUCAUUCUCGUCUCUCAGUCCUACAAAAACAGUAUAAGUAUUGUUUGGCAUUGAUAUUUGCUGUACAGUACAUACUAGGAAUACAGCUCACAAGGGACUGUGAACAGCACUGCAGUACACUGUUUUAAUUUCCGUUUUGAUUCUUAAUGUUUAUACCUGCAGAAAUUAUGUUAAUUGAAUUAAUUGUAUCGAGUGCUAGUGCUUUCUGAAUGCGCACAUUGUGUAACUAAUGAAAUAUUGAAGUCUUUUUUGUGCGUAGACUUUUGCGCAAAGGGUUCAACAAAUCUGAGGCAUGUGUCAAAACACCAGUUUUGUGUUUAGAGUUUCGGGAAAUGAGUCUUUCCUCUGGUAGGUGAACCAGUUUUAGUGUCUAAGUGAUUGAGAAAAAUACAGACAUUACGCUUGUGUCAGAAAGUCCUUGAGUGAGAUAACGGUGUGUGUGGGUGUGUUUGAAAUGCCUCAUGACAUACUAGCAUCCAAUCUAGGGUGUAUUCUUGCCUUAUCCUGACCAGGAUAAAGUGGUUACUUGUUAUGAUAUUCUCACUAAUAUUAUUGUUAUUAUGAGUCCCACUAGUAUUAUACAACCCCUGGCAAAAAUUAUGGAAUCACCACACUUAGAGGAUGUUCACCCAGCUUUUUUACUUUAUAGCAAACAAACAAAUCACAGAUAUGACACAAAAAAGGUUUUGUUCAAUAGCUUAACAUUCUGGUUUGUGAAAUAUACAUAAAAAAAAUUCAAGGACAAUUUUUUUUUAUUAAUGGCAUGUCUUUUUCCAAAUCAAGUAGAGGAAAAAA